UUCAGUUUUUUUUAAAUAAAAGUGAAGAAAAAUAUUUGAACGUUCAUUUGGUUAACAACCUAACAGAUUUUUCAGCAGCUUGCGCUCCAACGUAUUCCUGAUAUUUUGGAGAGAUUCUUUUCUAAAAAUUUGAAACACAUCAGUACUAUCUAUAUAUAACAACAGAGCUAUAUAAGAUAGCUUAUCCUCUUCCAUUGAAUUGAUCAUUGUUUCCCUCAGAUUUUGAAGAGAAGCAUUCACGGUGGUCAUCAAGGAUAAAACUUGUUCAUCUUCUCCCCAAUACGAGAACCGGGGUCCUAAAAUCUUUAAGACGACGCUGCCCAUAACCGAACACUCCAGGCCUUUUUGUAGUUGAGCUAGAGAAGGGCUGCUAAAGUGCAGGAAGAGUAAAUGAGUGAGGAGUAAAUGAGUGCUCAAGGACCCUCCCACAGCGCCAUACAAGGAAAAAAAACCAUACAAUAAGUGUGUUAAUGGAGAUUAUAAAAGUGAAACUAAACAAGUAUGUGAGGUAAGGAAGUAAACUAUAUUACUACUAGUACUUCCGUUUUUUAUUAUGUGCAACGAUUUGACGUAAAAUAGAGAGAGAAAAUGUAUAAUAGUUGCAAAUAAUAGAAAACGGAGUUAGUAAUUAGGAUGGUCAUCAAACACGUGAUUCAUUGUAUCACAUAUUUGGGUUGUUUUUUUUUUUACAUUCUAAAACCAAGUCAAACUAACCCACUUAUUAAUACAACUUAUGCCAUAGCUCAUAUAGACCAUAUUGUAAACAAAAAAAGAGAUAAAGAGAGAUCAUGGAGAUGGAUAAGAGGUUGUAUGAAACUGCUCUUGAAGGAAAUAUACCAAACUUAAACGGAACAAAAAGAGAGCAACUUUAUCUACAAACGACACAAAAGGUGAGAUGAACUCCAUUGUUUUUGACUCUUGAUGCUUGAAUCUGGAACUCCAUUCAUCUCUUUCUCUCUCCUUCGUGCUCUUUUUGUCACUCAACUCCAUUGUUGCUCCUUGCUUCAACCAUACCCAUGACAUUCCUCCGAUCUUAUUAAUAAUGAGGAUUAAUACAAGUAUCUAUUAUAUUCACAACUUCCUAUUUGUGAUAUAGUGUUAGAAGUAUUACGAGUACAGUACAUAUUACUAGUUGUUACACUAGAGAUAGUGAGAUACCAAUACAUAUUAGAGAGUAUUAUCGUAAUAUUUUAUCUUCUAGUUUGUUAAGUUUACAUGAUCGUAAUUAUCUUCUAGUAUGUUAAGCUCACAUGAUCCUCCGAGUUUGUAUGAAAUUGUUGAAGAUAAAUCAUGUUCACAUUGAGCUAGUUUUAUUAAGUCAAUUGUUAUCUUCUAGUUUGUUAAUUAAGUUGUUAAUACAUUAGACUGGUAUUUAUCAUUAAUUAUAGCAAAUAUUCGUGAUUAUGGUGGAUGGCUUUAUCUAGUAACAAAGACGGGACAAAAGAGGUAUUUAAGUGGAGAGAAAAAGAGACAAUCAUUUUAUGCGAUGUUUGUCUUCUUUUUAUUAAGACCAAUGGUCGUAGUUCAUUUUACAAUUGUAAGGAUAUUCAAAUAGAUGUCGAAAAAAGAAUCGAGCGUGAUUUUAAUAAUUUGCAAACCUGCAAGAACAAAUAUGACACAACGAGAAAAGAUUGGAUUAUAUGGAAAUCACUUAAAUCAUCAGAAACUGGUUUAGGAUGGGAUCAAAUUUCAGGAAAAAAUUGAUGCUACGAACGAAUGGUGACAAAGAAAAAUCAAGGAGUGUUUUUGUUACUAUUAAUACAAGUUCACUCAUAUAUAAAUAUAUGACUAGUGGGAUAAUAUAUGAAUUUGAAUCCUUUAAUUUUCUUUCUUU